rfam:Sordaria macrospora k-hell, WGS project CABT02000000 data, contig: 2.22
GUGCGGUUGGCGUAGAGGUUUAACGCAUCGGCCUUCCACCACAAGGUCCCAGACCCCUCAAUGGAGGAGGAAGCCGGAGACCCGGGUUCGAACCCCGGACCGCGCA